rnacentral:rRNA from 1 species
CCUACGGGAGGCAGCAGUCGGGAAUUUUGGGCAAUGGGCGAAAGCCUGACCCAGCAACGCCGCGUGAAGGAUGAAAUCCCUCGGGAUGUAAACUUCGCAAGAACAGGAAGAAUAAGUGAGAGUUAAUAUCUCUUACGAUGACGGUACUGUUUGUAAGCUCCGGCUAACUCCGUGCCAGCAGCCGCGGUAAUACGGGGGGAGCAAGCGUUGUUCGGAUUUACUGGGCGUAAAGGGCGCGUAGGCGGCCACCGCAAGUCGACUGUGAAAUCUCCGGGCUUAACCCGGAAAGGUCAGCCGAUACUGCGGGGCUAGAGUGCAGAAGGGGCAACUGGAAUUCUCGGUGUAGCGGUGAAAUGCGUAGAUAUCGAGAGGAACACCUGCGGCGAAGGCGGGUUGCUGGGCUGACACUGACGCUGAAGCGCGAAAGCUAGGGGAGCGAACGGGAUUAGAUACCCCGGUAGUCCUAGCCUUAAACGAUGAAUGCUUGGUGUCUGGGGUUUUAUAGUCCCCGGGUGCCGUCGCUAACGCUUUAAGCAUUCCGCCUGGGGAGUACGGUCGCAAGACUGAAACUCAAAGGAAUUGACGG